UACGUAGGUGGCAAGCGUUGUCCGGAUUUAUUGGGCGUAAAGGGCGCGCAGGCGGUCCGUUAAGUCCGAGGUGAAAUCUCCCGGCUCAACUGGGAGGGGUCUUCGGAUACUGGCGGACUUGAGGAGUGCAGAGGUGAGUGGAAUUCUCGGUGUAGUGGUGAAAUGCGUAGAUAUCGCUUGGAACGCCGAAGGUGAAAACAGGUCGCUGGGGACGCGCCGACGCUGAGACACGAAAGCCAGGGGAGCAAACGGG
rnacentral:rRNA from 1 species